rnacentral:rRNA from 1 species
UACGUAGGGGGCGAGCGUUGUCCGCAGUUACUGGGCGUAAAGCGCGCGUAGGCGGUCUUUUAAGUCUGGGGUGAAAGGUUCAACGCUCAACGUGAACAGUGCCUUGGAUACUGGGAGACUUGAGUUCGGGAGAGGGCAGUGGAAUUCCGGGUGUAGCGGUGAAAUGCGUAGAUAUCCGGAGGAACACCGAUGGCGAAGGCAGCUGCCUGGCCUAGAACUGACGCUGAGGUGCGAAAGCGUGGGGAGCGAACGGG